AACUGAUGGAUAUUUUCAUAAGGAAUAUUACAGCCCCCAAGACCAUUAUAACUGAAUGAGGACCAAUAAGAGGGUCAAUUUGAAAACACCCAUUUCUUUACACUUUUAUAAACAAAACCAUCAAUGUGUAAAUAAGAUUUUGUGUGUGGAGAAGAAAUAUAUUUAUAUAAUUAUUACAAAUGCAAUUCUAUUAAAUAAUUGAUGCCCCCGCUUGCGUUUUGUAUAAAAUUAUAGAAGGACUUAAGUGAAGAAACGUAUAAGUGACUCUACUCAAAUUUGUACUUGUGAAUUUUUGUGGUAAUUAAUGAACAUUGGGCCACAAUUAAAAAUAUUUUGGUUUGCCCAAACCCUACCCAAAGGUUGAGACAGUGGGUAGGUAGGUAGGCAUUUUCUUUUUUUUUUUCAAAAAGAGAAAUUGAAGUAUCAGAUGUUUAUUAGUCUUCAUGCCUAUCUGAUUAAAAAAAAACUUCUUCAAAUCAGGACAAUAAAAGAAUUUGAGUAGGCAGCUUUUUUCUGGGUAGGUAGCGUUUGGGCAAACAAACCUAUUCUUUUUUAUGGCCUUGUGUAUAAGAAUCAUAACAUUUCGUUGAGGCAAACUAAAGUAAGAGAACAUAAA
rnacentral:lncRNA from 1 species